AGUAAACUAAUACUACGUAUUACUACUUAUCAGAUGCUUAAGAAAUGAGCAAUCAGCUAAGAAGAUUAUAGCUUUAUAAAUUUAUAAAACCGACGCAAAUAAAAGCACUCUGCAUCCUGCAAGUGAAUUAAAUGUCAUCUGGACUGCUUUAAAAAAAAAAUAAAAAAAAUGGACUUUUAUAAUUGAAUGCAUGCAUAUAUAAAUGGUUACAUCCAACUUUC
rnacentral:lncRNA from 1 species